CUGGAAUUGAUCAGGAUUUAGAUAGGAUUUGAACAUGAUUAGGCUACAAUCCUCUGUUUUCCUCUUUGUCUUGCUCUACAGGAUUUAUUGGAUUUGGCCGAAUAAGCGCUCGAAAAGAGAAAGUUACCCUUACAGCCGGUGAGCUCCCGUUGUUGCUUUGAUCAAAAUGUCGUAACUUCCGUUCCAACAGGAAGGAAAGUCGUCGGAGAGGCAAGGUCGAAUGCCCACGAAGGACCUGAGGAAGCAGCGAAAGGGAGAAAGUUGCCUCACAGCCGGCGAGCCCUAGUUGCUCCCGACCGAAAUGUUGUAACUUCCGAUCGGAUAAGAGGGGAACGCCGUUGAUGGUGCGACGUAGCAAGGAGGUCGACGGUAGGGCUUGAGGAGGCUUCUCUCUCUCUCUCUCUCUUUCUCUCUCUCUCUCUCUCUCUGUGGAUCGGAGGUAUCGGGAGAAAGAACGGGAUCGUGAGUGAGGAAGAAGAAAUUCGGGAGGAGUUCGGUUCGUCCGCGAGAGAGAGAGUGACCAACAGCCUCUUUCCUUCAAUUUCACGCAAGGCAGCUCGUAUAGAAUCGUGUAGAUAGCGUCGUGGGAGUGGCGACAUUGGUCGUGCAACGAGCGGCGUAGGACGUCCGAUUCACGAGAUUUACGGGAUUUCAUGGAUGUCUUCGACGUGCAAACGACAUCAUUGUACAGGCUUGGAGCAGAUAUAAUUUAUGAUCCAAAGUGUGUGCGCAUCUAAUUCGAGUGCUUUGCAUGCUUUUGAAGAGCAAGAGAGGUUUCAUGUUUGCCGAAGAAACAGAAGCUUCAGUGGCUUAUAUAGCUACUGUUAUCCGAAACAAAGAGACAUUCAAUUAUUUCAUUGGAGCAGCUGAGGAAGCUCACCUCUCUGUUGCGGACAUCACUGAAAUUUAGCAACCGUUGAAUCUGCUUCCUUACAUGCUUUCCUAUGAUCGUGCAAGCGUUCGUUUAUGCAAAAUUUCAUACCUGUUCUGAUUAAAUUUGUUAAGUUUUUAUCACCAAAAUAAAACUGUGACAUAUUAUUAGAAACGGAAUAUUGCUUCAAGAUAUCAAGAAAUUGUUAACCAA